CUCUUUUUGAUUUGAUUUGAUUCUCUGCUUGGUCGCUGUUGGUGUAUAGAAGAGCUACUGAUUUGUGUACAUUAAUCUCAUAUCUAGAAACACUGCUAAAUUAUUUUAUCAGUUCUAGGAGCUUUCUGGAGGAGUCCUUAGGGUUUUGAAGGUAAACAAUCAUUUCAUCAGCAAACAGUGGAAAAUGAGCUUAUAUAUGAAGAAGUCAGCGAGUGGACAAAGCCAGGCGCAAUGGAUAGCAAAGAUGUGGAAGUCUCCUCGAUUCAAGUUACAAGAAAACCGCAGCAUGGAGUCUGCUCUCAGCUGUUGGGGAAUUACCGAUGCCUUUGACUAAGUCAAGACUGACUUUUCCAGAAUAUCACCCAAGAGAUAGAGCCGUCCCUGUCCAAGUUUGUGCGCUAGCCCUUCAUGGAGGUCAGAGAGGAAGAAACAAAGGCAGCUGUGGCCUCGGCGGUCACAGUGUCAGAACGCACAAGCCCCAUAAAGAGGUUUCACGCAGGCCACCCAUCCCUUUUCAUUCUCCAGCAGAACAGGACAGAGAGCGUUCUGUUCUGCGGAAGGUCUUCCACUCUACAAGGCAAUCCCUCCAGCUGCUUUGCUGUAUUGUGCUGUCUCCUGUCACACUAUGAAUGCAGUGACCUCAGCCAGCAACAGGGAGAACCCCCCUGCCUCCCGAACAAAGGACCUCACGUGAAAUCCUGAGCUCAGAGCUUACAGAUAUGUGUGCGCUUUCACUUUACAUCGGCCGUGACUUCCAAACAACUUCAGGAAACUUUAGGAUCUCUGAGGUAUACUGGAGAUGACAGCAGCGUAGAAUGUUCAUUUGGAUUUAGAACAGAAAUGCUUAUUUUAUAUUUGGCUGCUCCCAAACUGUCCCCAGACUUCCUCUCCAGUGGUUACCCUCCACUGCCCUGGAUGUCCCACGUUUACACUCCACACUCACACCUCCACCUUAACAAAGUCCUCCACUGGGUCAAACCAUACAUCGCUUCGUCUCUGUAGUGAUGACUUCCUGUCCUCUGCUCUGUGGAUAAAGACCCCAGAUAAAGAUGCCUGUGUUGCUCAACUCUUGUAAAUACUCUUGAGACAUUUUGAAAGCAGAAGGAAAGGAGACAGACGGGGAAAAUAAAAGGGAUGGUCUGCUUGUGCGGAAACGUUUUGAGAAUGCCCUUCCCUAAGAGAGAACAGUAAAAGUGAGCAAUACUUCCUGAGCUGUGGGUUCAUAUGGCUGGACUGUGCUGUUUCUCACGGGAGAAGUUCUCGUCUCCCCUGCGUGUACAUCCCUGUUUGCCAGCCUGGCCUUCGGUGUGGUGAUAUCAUGGUGCACUCCCAGGAGGGAAGUGCUUGGUCAAGACUUCUGCUUGGGUUCGACUAUCAGUUCUGGUUUCCUUUAAGGCACAGGAUCUUCCCUUUAAGGCACAAACACCCCCUUGACACAAACCUGGACUUCGGUGUGGUGAUAUCAUGGUGCAUUCCCAGGAGGGAAGUGCUUGGUCAAGACUUCUGCUUGGGUUCGACUGUCGGUUCUGGUUUCACAUGCACUGUGUGAACACGCUUCAUACAGAGGGUCAGCACCGCACUGUGUGAACAUGUGUUAUACAGAGAGUCAGCACCGCACCGCGUGAACAUCCUUCAUACAGGUCAGCACUGCACCAUGUGAACACACUUCAAACAGAGAGUCAGUACUGCACCAUGUGAACAUGCUUCAUACAGAAGAUCAGCACCUCACUCUGUGAACAUGUGUCAUACAGAAGGUCAGCACUGCACUGUGUGAACACGCUUCAUACAGAAGGUCAGCACCGCAUUGUGUGAACAUGUGUCAUACAGAGAGUCAGCACCGCACCGUGUGAACACGCUUCAUACAGAGGGUCAGCACCGCAUUGUGUGAACAUGCUUCAUACAUGAGGUCAGCACCUCAUUGUGUGAACACACUUCAUACAGAGUCAGCACUGCACUACGUGAACAUGCUUCAUACAGAGGGUCAGCACCUCACUGUGUGAACAUGUGUCAUACAGAGAGUCAGCACUGCACCGUGUGAACAUGCUUCAUACAGAGGGUCGGGUCAGCACCGCACUGUGUGAACAUGCUUCAUGCAGAGAGUCUGUCCUGCACCAGGUGAACACGCUUCAUACAGAGAGUCAGCACCGCACCGUGUGAACACGCUUCAUACAGAGGGUCAGCACCGCACUGUGUGAACACACUUCACACAGAGGGUCUGUACCACAUUCCGUCAACAUGUGUCAGCACCAUACCAUGUGAACACGCUUGGUACAGUGAUAUACAUGCAUGUGGCAGAGCUGUGAAAUUAUGACCUGCUGCAGACAGACUUUGUACACUGUGCUAUCAGCCAACUGGGCAAAUGUGGACAAGAGUCCCUGCAUGUCUCUAUUCACCAGGUGUCUGUCAAAUGAAAUGGGCUGAACUGGAUAAUGGCAGGUCUGACCCAUGAUUACUGCCUGUAAGAGCUGAGUUAUCCCAGAGUGUAGGCGUGGGAUAUUAAAAUAUAUAUAUAUGCAAAUAUAUUUGGGCUGGGUUUGGUGGGUCAUGCCUGUAAUCCAGCACUUUGGGAGGCUCAGGCAGGCGGAUAACCUGAGGCCAGGAAUUCAAGACCAGCCUGGCCAACAUGGUGAAACCCCGUCUCUACAAAAAAAUACAAAAAAUUGGCCAGGCACGGUGGCUCACGCCUAUAAUCCCAACACUUUGGGAGGCCGAGGUGGGCAGAUCACCUGAGGUCAGGAGUUUGAGACCAGGCUGGCCAACAUAUAGUGAAACCCCAACUCUACUAAAAAAAUACAAAAAUUAACUGGGAGUGGUGGCAAACGUCUGUGGUCCCAGCUACUUGGGAAGCUGAGGCAGGAGAAUCGCUCAAACCCGGGAGGUGGAGGUUGCAGUGAGCCGAGAUACCGCCACUCCACUCCAGCCUGGGUGACAGAUCAAGACUCCAUCUCUCAAAAAAACAAGAACAAAAACAAAAAACAACAACUUAGCCGGACGUGGUGGUGGGUGCCUGUAAUCUCAGCUACUCAGGAGGCUGAGGCACAAGAAUCCCUUGAACCUGGGAGGUGGAGGUUGCAGUGAGCAGAGAUCUCACCAUUGCACUCCAGCCUGGGCAACAAGAGCGAAACUCCAUCUCAAAAAAUAAAUAAAUAAAUAAAUAAUAAAUAAAAAUAAAAAUAUAUUUGGUCUUAGUCCUUGGUUCCUGGCACAGAGCUUCAAAAAUUCCUGGAAUUUCCUGAGUGAUAAGGAUGUCUGUUUAUUUGUAAAGCGCUCCUUCUGACCAUGCCUGAGCUUAUGCCAGUGAGGUGCCUCAAAGUGGGCCUUUAGAGAGCUUCAAGAGAGGGGCUGGCCAUGCCAGAGAGAUCAAGUCCAUAUUUAAAGGGCUAGAACGUUCAGCCCCACCCGACCUCUGCAGAGGGGAGAGGGAUUGGGCACUGAGUUCAUUCCUGCUUACAUGGCUAACUUUUAUUUGUCCCUCUCUCUCUCUCUUUUAAAAUGAGUAUAGGGACCUGAAACAGUGGCUGACACAUGCCUGUAAUCCUAGUGCUUUGGAAGGCCGAAGUGGGAGGAUCACGUGAGCACAGGAAUUUGAGACCAGCUGGGGCAACAUAGCAAGACACUGUCUCUACAAAAAAAAAAAAAAAAAAAAAAAAUUAACCAGGCACAGUGGCAUGUACACCUGUAGUCUCAGCUACUCAGGAGGCUGAGGCAGAAGGAUCACUUGAGCCCAGGAGGUCCAGGCUAUAGUGAGCUAUGAUGGCACCACUGCAUUCCAGCCUGGGUGACAGAAAAAGACUCUGUCUCUAGAAAGAAAAAAAAAGAGGACUUAAAUUUUUACAUUUUAGCUAUAACUUACUGAAACUCUAAGUAGCCUUGAAAUUCAUAAUAUCAUAAACAGGCUGGGCGCGGUGGCUCAUACCUCUAAUCCCAGCACUUUGGGAGGCCGAGGUGGGUGGAUCAUCUGAGGUCCGGAGUUCGAGACCAGCCUGGGCAACAUGGCGAAACCCUGUCUCUACUAAAAAAUACAAAAAAUUAUCCCAGCUACUUGGGAGGCUGAGGCAGGAGAAUUGCUAGAACCUGGGAGACGGAGGUUGCAGUGAGCUGAGAUCACGCCACUGCAUUCCAGCCUGGGCAACAGAGCAAGACUUGGUCUCAAAAAAGUAAAAUAAAAAUUAAAAACUAUUAAAAAACAUAUACUGAGGAGAGAGUACUUAAGGAAAUGAAAUGAGUUACAUAUUCUGCUCUGCUUUUCCUGUAAAGGAAAUGUCAGAAGAGUCGGGGAAAGGGUCCCAAAGGCUGUCCCCUGGCAGAUCCCCAGGUCAACACUUGGGGUGGGAGCUGAGAACCCUGGUGUGGAGCUCAGGUCUGAGCCAUCCCCUACAAUGCAGCUGUUACACAGAGUCCUACAUCAAGGCUCCCAGG
rnacentral:lncRNA from 1 species